GUGGUGGCACAGUGGUUAGAGUGCCAGGCUAGGACCUGGGAGAUCAGGGUUCAAAUCCCCACUUGGCCA